GCCUAGUUAGCUUAGUUGGUAGUGCGUCUGCCUUGUAAGCGCUAGACCGCGGGUUCGAUUCCCGCCCGGGG
rfam:Asian citrus Psyllid, Diaphorina citri - Florida Strain, whole genome shotgun sequence.